CUCUUGAAAUAUCUCAAGUAACCUCUGCCCUAUGAAUAGUUUAAAUGGCCGCAGUACUUUGACUGUGCAAAGGUAGCAUAAUCACUUGUCUCUUAAUUGGGGGCUGGAAUGAAGGAGGCGACGAAAUUUGUGCUAUUUAGUUAUAAAACAAAAUUAACAUAAAGGUCAAAAGGCUUUUAUACACCAAAGGGACGAUAAGACCCUAUAAAACUUUACUAUAUAGCAGGUUGUUUAGGUAAAAUUUAAAUUAUAGUUUAACUGGGGCGGUUUAUAUAAAAACAAUAGUAAUGUCAAUAUUUUAAAUAAACUUAGAGAGCUUUAAUAAGAAAUGAACAAGUUACUUUAGGGAUAACAGCAUAAUUCUCCCAGAGAGUCCUAAUUGGCGGGAGAGCUUAUGACCUCGAUGUUGAAUUGGGGUGUCUAG
rnacentral:rRNA from 1 species